rnacentral:rRNA from 1 species
ACUCCUACGGGAGGCAGCAGUGGGGAAUUUUGGACAAUGGGGGAAACCCUGAUCCAGCCAUCCCGCGUGUGCGAUGAAGGCCUUCGGGUUGUAAAGCACUUUUGGCAGGAAAGAAACGGCUCCGGAUAAUACCUGGAGCAACUGACGGUACCUGCAGAAUAAGCACCGGCUAACUACGUGCCAGCAGCCGCGGUAAUACGUAGGGUGCAAGCGUUAAUCGGAAUUACUGGGCGUAAAGCGUGCGCAGGCGGUUCGGAAAGAAAGAUGUGAAAUCCCAGAGCUUAACUUUGGAACUGCAUUUUUAACUACCGAGCUAGAGUGUGUCAGAGGGAGGUGGAAUUCCGCGUGUAGCAGUGAAAUGCGUAGAUAUGCGGAGGAACACCGAUGGCGAAGGCAGCCUCCUGGGACAACACUGACGCUCAUGCACGAAAGCGUGGGGAGCAAACAGGAUUAGAUACCCUGGUAGCGUCGUCU